AAACACUACAGGACACAAAUUCCUAGGAAGCACUGACUUCCUUUCAUAGCACACGCCCGUGAGAAAGUGCUAUGUAACAAGCAACAAACGAGAUGGUUACAGGAAGUCAUUACAAGCCUCUGCAUUGGCAGGUGGCUUAUGAAGAUGUGAGCACUACACUGUCCAAGUCUCAGCUGCAGCGGACUGGAAAGACUCACUGAACUCAAUGAGAGAUCACGAGUCAGCACUCAUCUGCAGUCUGUUCACCACAUAUGUGCCUGGUCCCUGUGGCUGUCAGAAGAGGGUAUCAGCUCCCCUGGAACAGGAAUUACAGACAGGCCGCUGUACGCUGCUGUGUGAGUGCUGGGGAGAUCAGGACCGUUGCUAACACGUCCACAACUGGUCUGUGCUGAAAAGAAUAUGUGACUGUGAAUGUGUGAACCCAAAAAGGACAUCUAUGUUCACACAGCCAGGACUCGAGAGCAUCCUGGAAAGGAGGGAAAGAAUCCAGGAGCUGGAAGAUGGGGAGGGCUGCUGGGAAAUGCUGAGUUCUGGGAAUGAGCCAGCUCUCACUCUUACAACCCACAACAGCUGCAAGACCUGUGUGUUCAGUGUAUAUUAUUUACAACUUCGUAAAAAGAUUACUUUCUUCACC
rnacentral:lncRNA from 1 species